UGACGUGAAGCAUCAUUGGUGAUGCGUCUGACUGUUUUGGUUGGAAAUGAGGUCGGUUCGAAUCCGGCCGCGUCAA
rnacentral:tRNA from 1 species